CUACUCUGAGCACGAGAUUGGUCUCUGUUCUGCUGCUCUUGCUAGUUCCACGCUCAGGAUGCCAGGGAUUUCCAACCAACAGACUUUGGUGACUCUGUGAAGCAAGUUUGGAGGGCAAAUCUAAACUACAGUAGUCCCACUAGCACUAGGCUAAACCAGGUUUGCUAAUGUAAGUCAAGCUCCGGUCUGAACCUUGACUCGGGUAAUGUUCCAGGUGCCAGCUUGGGGCUGCUGCACCCACAACUUGGGUCUUCCAGCACCCCAUUCAGGGGAGGCUGCCUGGAGAGCCCAGGCCAGCUCUGCUCUGCAGUGAAGCUUAAAUGGGAGAAGAGGAGGAAGCUUCCAAGCACCCACCAGCCAUUUCUGCUUCAAUUGUACCAGGCUCUCCUUUUGUCCCACAGCCCAGAUCUACCAUCAAGAACUACUUCUUCCCUUCUUGAAUGAAGUUGCAACAUCCAUUUUCUCAUCUGUUAUACACCAAAUCUUAACAUCAUCCUCAAUAUAAGCCCCACAUGGAUGCAGUGCACUAUUGGACAUGCAUGUUCAUAGUUGCAAAUGCCCACAGAAUAUUUUACAAGUCUCUGUGAAGAAACUGCCCUGCUGCUUAUACCUUCACUGCUUGCUAUGGCAAGCAGGUCAGAAAGCAAAAGCUGGGCCUCCGCUGAGCAUUUUUAUCACGUGUAUCCAGUGUGUGCAUUUAUGUGUGAGGAUGGGAGCUGCAUGUGCACAGAGUAGACAGAGGAGCUUUUGGCUGGAACCAUAAGGUUGUGAAAUGCUCGGUGCCUUGACCUGUAACAUGCAACUGUAAAUUCCUCAGCUCUUGUUAUGUUUUCCAGGGGUCACGGUCUUUAACAGUUUAUUUAGUGGAGGAGGAGGAAAGAAGCCCUUUGUAUUGUUGAGCAGCACACGCUAGCUUCCCUUGGCCUGGCAGCUGGUGCUGACACAGGGCUGUUCCUCAGGUGUUACUUUGAUGGAUGGUGCCCCAACGGCCAGCGAGCAGCAGGGGUGGUGGCAGCCUCCACUUACCCGCCUUUGGUUGAAGAAGAACCUGUGGAGAUUGCCUGUGUGGGAUCCGGCGCUGUCUUCACAGCGUUUUCAUUGCAUUUCAGAUGGAGGCUGAGCUUUCCUCCAGCCUAAUUGCCGAUGGCAAUGGCCUGCUGAAGUGAACUUUUGCUGUGAUGCAGAGCACACAUAACAGAAUGCUUGCAGUGACAGGUCUGCAUUAGAACCAAAUCCAGCAGCAGAUUAAGUGAGUCUGGAGUCCUAGGGCUAAAGACCUUUGCUAUCUCCAGCGGGGGGAGGAGCAGAUGCUGUUUUAUUGUACUGUAAACUGUUUUUGCACGGCAAAGCAACUUGACACUGUGAUCUUGGUGAAUCGUGCCUCCCUGCUUCAGCCACAGACAUUUCCACAUCCACGGUUAUUUUGGUACUCAGGGACACCAUUGUCUGAGGUAGCUGCUUUGAGUCACCCUCCUAGAGGUACCACCAGCCUUGCUUUGCCUCGUGAUAUGCAAGUCUGAACUCGGUGUUCCUAGUGCUGGUAAAAAUAGCACUGGGAUGCUCCAGGUGUCCCUGACAGGGGCCAAGGGCUCCCAGGCCAGUCAGGCUCAAUCCAGGACAGGGAGCAGCCCACACCUCAGUUUUAUUCUGUAGCUCUGAAGUUAAGAACAUAAAAAGAGAGUUAAGAUGGGUAGAAAUGAAGACCUCAUGCUUUUCUGUGUGAGCCCUUCUCCUUGUUACCUCAAGUUUCUUCCACUAAAGGCUUUGCAGUUACAUGGUGCUACAGCAGAAGUCAAAGCGAUGGCUGGCAGCACUUGGUGGUUUGUGACACCUGGACUAGGAAGCACAUUGCGUGAGACUGAACUCCUUUUGGAUGUGAGGAAGCAGGAGCAUGUAUUGAGCAUAACAAGAUGUGACUCCCAACCACCUUGUGCACUAAUCCAGAUUCACACAUCUCCCAGAUCUGCUAUGAGGUCCCGAUCCAAGGUUCACUGAAGAGCAGUUAUUCAGCUUACUGCUGUAGUUCUGGGACAUAGAGAUCUAUAUCAUAUAUUUUUUUACUACUUCUGCCACAUUAGCUGGUUGGCCAGAUAAGCAUGCUGCCUGUCAGUCUCUGACACCCCUCUUGCUUAGAGAGUUUGCCAAACCGGUUAACCCAGAGAGAAAAUGUAUAUAGGAACACAAAAAUAUAUUACUUUCUCUGUGUGCUGCUACAGGCAGCACAAAACGCACACAAGUAGAGUGGGGUUAGAUGUAAUCUAUGAGACCUUCCCAAGCAGCGAAAUACUGAUAUGCUGAAGGUCUCAUGUGUUUAAAUUUUCUCAUAGCAGUUUGUUAAAAAAGAUUCUGGUACAAACAUAUGAAAACUUUCUCCAUUCCCAUCUCUGUGUCUUUAACUACAUGUCUUUCCACCUUUUUAAUUUUGAAACGCAUGUGGUUAAGCCUAGAAUUUCCUGUGGCUAAGAGGAAUGGGGUCUGAUUGAUUGUAAUAAGGGACAGUCUAAAUGAAGUGCUUGGACUUGCCCCGGGCGCUUCUAUCUGCAGGUGCUGGGAGCCCUUGCCAAUGCGAAUGACUUUUUGGAACACAAGUGAUUAUUUACUGCUGAACCAAGCCAAAGGCUAUGCUUUUCCUUGCAGCUCACAGCCCUCAGCCUCCAACAGGAAACGUAUUUAGUUUUCAAAUCCCUCUCUGACCAAAAAGAAAUUCCAGCAAAAAUAGCAAUAAACAUUGACAGAGUCCUCCUCUUCUGUAGGAAAAACAUGAGCUUGGGUUUAAAAUGAAAUAUCCUGUGACUAAUCUGUCCUAGGAGUGGGACAGGGUCAGGCUGUGGCGUGUGGGAGUCAGCAAGAGGACCUGGCGAAGGCUACCCCUCCAUAUUUGCCACCCGCCUCCCUGUAGCAGCUCAAUAUAUUACCAACGUGAUGUUUUCAAACAACAAUUGCAAAAGGGCUUCGCUGUUUGAUCCUCCUCAGUUUGUCAUUGAUUUUCCCCAUCAAAAUAGUUUGUGCAACGAAUCCCAGCUGUAUCCCUGGCACUUUGCUCACCAGCAAAUACAAUCCAAAUGUUAAUUCUUUGGAGCUGAGAGCUGCGUGCCAAGAAAUGAAUAAUCUGUGCAAGGCUAA